rnacentral:rRNA from 1 species
UACGUAGGGAGCAAGCGUUGUCCGGAAUCAUUGGGCGUAAAGCGCGCGUAGGCGGCCCUGUAAGUCCGUUGUGAAAGUCAAAGGCUCAACCUUUGAAAGCCGAUGGAUACUGCAGGGCUAGAGUCCGGAAGAGGCGAGUGGAAUUCCUGGUGUAGCGGUGGAAUGCGCAGAUAUCAGGAGGAACACCAAUAGCGAAGGCAGCUCGCUGGGACGGUACUGACGCUAAGGCGCGAAAAGCGUGGGGAGCGAAACAGG